ensembl:lncRNA
CACGCGUCGUCUCGCAAGAACCGCGCGAUACACGAACAGACACAAUGGCAAUGGCGGCCCGGUAUCGCCAUUCCGACUCACCACAAACUCCUCGCAUAGAACAGCCUGGACAUGACCGACUGGUUCCAGUCAGACCCGCGACAGACACUGAGAAGAAAUUAUUGAGCGUUAUCAGCCGGCUGUCUGGUCAGAGAGGACCGCUGGAGGAGAAGCUGGAGGAGAGGAUAGCCGCCAUGGAAGCCAAAUUAAACACUUUCUCCAGCGGCGAGGAAAUUCAGCGGAAAAGAGGAGAGCACAGUCCUAAAAUUGUGACUGGGCUCACCUCACAAUGAGACAGUCAGGACAUAUUUAGUUAAAACUUUGGCUGAAGUCCAGAUGUGGAGGAUGUGGAGACAGACGUCCUUCUAUCUGAUUUUAAAAAGCAUUUUGAAACUCUACGGAGGAACUACCGCUACAUUCAACCCAACAUGGCGGAUCAGGCAGAGGCCAUAAAGGCUUCUGCCCGGAGUCACCACAGAAGAAAGAGGCUGCUGGAUGCCAGGAAGACAGUCCUUGCUCCAGAUGAAGAGGACUUCUGGAAGGGCAUCACAGCUGACAUGAUGUCAGAUGAAGAGGACGGCAGCGUUGACGGAGUGCGUGGAUGGAUAGUACGGCCUCCAUCCUUCCACAGCCAGGAGCUUGCCAACCUGUGUGCAGCCCUACAGGCUGGAGGCUGAUGUAAAGUACACAGCUCUACAUCACAGGUGUUUUCACAAUGGACAGCCGUCUGAUAGACAUAAGUAUGACACAGCAGCAGCAAAGAGACAUUUUAAGCCAGAGCUGAUGCCUGAGACCAGCUCAGUGUGAGAGACCAACUUGCCCAUUUUUUAGUUAUUAAUUUGUUUUGAAAUAUUUAUUUAAUUUUUUGGUAAAUUUUAUUUUUUUUAAAGAAUGGUUUAUCUUGUUUUAAUUUUGGAUUUUGGGAACUCUUACAAUCUAUACUGUUCAAUAAAGCUGUUGUUUUUCAACAUG